CCAAUAGCGUAUAUUAAAGUUGUUGCAGUUAAAAAGCUCGUAGUUGAAUUUCGAGAUCAAUUUUCUUGGUCAUACCUUUGUAUGUACUGGUCUUAUUGAUUUCUCCCUUCUGAUGAACCAUGAUGUCAUUAAUUUGGUGUUAUGGGGAAUCAGGACUAUUACUUUGAAAAAAUUAGAGUGUUUAAAGCAGGCUCACGCUUGAAUACAUUAGCAUGGAAUAAUGAAAUAGGACGUUUGAUUCUAUUUUGUUGGUUUCUAGGAUUGACGUAAUGAUUAAUAGGGAUAGUUGGGGGCAUUAGUAUUCAAUUGUCAGAGGUGAAAUUCUUGGAUUUAUUGAAGACUAACUACUGCGAAAGCAUUUGCCAAAGAUGUUUUCAUUAAUCAAGAACGAAAGUUAGGGGAUCGAAGACGAUCAGAUACCGUCGUAGUCUUAACCAUAAACUAUGCCGACUAGGAAUCGGAUGAUGUUAAUUUUUUAAUGACUCAUUCGGCGCCUUAC
rnacentral:rRNA from 1 species